rnacentral:rRNA from 1 species
GACGAACGCUGGCGGCGUGCUUAACACAUGCAAGUCGAACGAUGAUGCCCAGCUUGCUGGGCGGAUUAGUGGCGAACGGGUGAGUAACACGUGAGUAACCUGCCCUUGACUUCGGGAUAACUCCUGGGAAACCGGGGCUAAUACCGGAUAUGAGCCGUCCUCGCAUGGGGGUGGUUGGAAAGUUUUUCGGUCAGGGAUGGGCUCGCGGCCUAUCAGCUUGUUGGUGGGGUGAUGGCCUACCAAGGCGACGACGGGUAGCCGGCCUGAGAGGGCGACCGGCCACACUGGGACUGAGACACGGCCCAGACUCCUACGGGAGGCAGCAGUGGGGAAUAUUGCACAAUGGGCGAAAGCCUGAUGCAGCGACGCCGCGUGAGGGAUGAAGGCCUUCGGGUUGUAAACCUCUUUCAGCAGGGAAGAAGCGCAAGUGACGGUACCUGCAGAAGAAGCGCCGGCUAACUACGUGCCAGCAGCCGCGGUAAUACGUAGGGCGCAAGCGUUGUCCGGAAUUAUUGGGCGUAAAGAGCUCGUAGGCGGUUUGUCGCGUCUGGUGUGAAAACUCGAGGCUCAACCUCGAGCUUGCAUCGGGUACGGGCAGACUAGAGUGCGGUAGGGGAGACUGGAAUUCCUGGUGUAGCGGUGGAAUGCGCAGAUAUCAGGAGGAACACCGAUGGCGAAGGCAGGUCUCUGGGCCGCAACUGACGCUGAGGAGCGAAAGCAUGGGGAGCGAACAGG